rnacentral:lncRNA from 1 species
ACCAGACUGGAACAUGUUCAGCAGUAUCCAUAUACACCAGCUUUAACAGCUUUUGUAUGUUUGUGUGUGUGUGUGUGUGUGUGUGUGUGUGUAGGGGGCGGAGUGUGGGGAGGGGCUGAGGGAGAGGAACCUGUCCUGUGUGGUGCACUGGGGGUCUCUCUCAGGUUCUCCUUUACCGAGAGUCGUGGCGGAGGAGCGCUGUGUGGAGACCAGACUCACCAAAACUACCGGAACAGAGUUUCAACAGACCUGCUCUAUACCCUGCCCAGGUGAUUGUUACCUGGCGGAGUGGUCGGUGUGGAGCGUGUGUCAGCUGCUCUGUCUGGAUGGGCGGAGUUUCGAGACGUCGGGUCGGCAGGCGAGAUCCAGAGCUGUGGUGAUGCAGGUUCCCCAGAGUGAGGACUCGUGUCCCAGACAGGUGUACGAGAGCCGGCCGUGCACAGGAGGGAGCUGUCUCAGUUAUGAGUGGGUAACUGGUGGAUGGAGGGAUAAUCAAAGGGCGGUGUGGUGUCAGCGCUCUGAUGGGGUAAACGUUACAGGAGGCUGUUUCCCUCAGAAUAAACCUGCUGCUGUUCGUCACUGUCACCCACCCUGUACCAAACCCUUCUCUUACUGCACACAGAGUGGUGUGUGUGGAUGUGGGAGGGGCUUUACUGAGGUCAUGACCUCUCUGGGUUUUCUGGAUUACUGUAUGGGAUCUGCUGCUCCUGAUUAUAAGAAGGCAGACGUGAAAAACGGCGCAGGACGUCGGAGGACCAGCCCCGUCCAGAAACACGACCGGCCCCGAGACUGGGCCCUGCAGCCCCUCGGCCCAGAUGGACGGGUCAGGCUGUGGGUGUACGGGUUGAUGGCUGCAGGCUUCAUCAUGAUCCUCCUCAUCAUCACCAUGUCCUUCCUGCUGUGUAAAAACCCAAAGGACCGUCCGAACCCCAGCAGCACCCAGAA